rnacentral:pre_miRNA from 1 species
AAGAUACUUCUUCCGUUUCAUAAUUCUUGUCGAAAUAUUACAUGUAUCUAGACAUUUUUUAGGAAUAGAUACAUCCAUAUUUGGACAAAUUUGAGACAAGAAUUAUGAAACGGAGGGAGUACAUU